AUCUUCAGGGCAGGGUUCGUUUCCCUACCGGCGGUAAAGCCCGCGAGCCGAUAUGGCAUGAUCCGGUGAGAUUCCGGGGCCGACAGUUAAAGUCUGGAUGAAAGAAGAU
rnacentral:ncRNA from 1 species